rnacentral:rRNA from 1 species
CACGUAGGGCGCAAGCGUUUGUCCGGAAUUAUUGGGCGUAAAGAGCUCGUAGGUGGUCUGUUGCGUCCGCUGUGAAAACUCGGGGCUUAACCCCGAGCCUGCAGUGGAUACGGGCAGACUAGAGGUAGGUAGGGGAGAAUGGAAUUCCUGGUGUAGCGGUGAAAUGCGCAGAUAUCAGGAGGAACACCGGUGGCGAAGGCGGUUCUCUGGGCCUUACCUGACACUGAGGAGCGAAAGCGUGGGGAGCGAACAGG